UUCAAAUCAAAUUUAAAUAAUAAUUUUAAACGCUUGAAUGGAUAAUAAAAUCAUAUAUCACAUAAUAAGUCUUCACGGAACUUGAACAUUGAGAUAAUUCACGUGGAUAUCAAAUGGUAAACUUGAAAGACUAUCCCUACAAGUAGGUCAAAGUGUAAUUUAAGGCGAGUGUUAUUUGCUUAAUGAGAAUUAGGAAAAUCGAAUGAAAUAGGGGAAGGUAAAUGGUAAAAUGGUAAAGAAACUGAUCUUUUUAUGAUAUUGUUAUGAUAGAGUUAAAUAUUAUUAUUAUUUCGUUGCAACUUAUUGAUCUUGUUAAUAUUUGACGAUGAUGUUAACCGUUCUAAACGGUCAAAAGCAAAUCUUUGUUAAAUACACAAUUUUUUCUACGAAUGUGCUACUUUGUGGUUAAAUAAUGGUUCGUUUGAAGAAGGGGUGAAUGCUUUCAUGGUUAAAGAGGAACAAAAAUAAUUUUUAAUAAUAUCCUUCCAUAUUAAAUCAGAUUUAUUUGAGUUUUUGAGGUAAUAAAUAAAGUUGAGGUAGUGGAACACUCUGUAUAUAAUAAAAAAUAAUAUUUUAUUACGUUAUUUCAUAACCUUUGAUAACCUUUUUUGCGUUAAGUAUAAAAUUCGAAUGUCAAGUUCACUAAGUUAACUAAAUCUUUGUUUGAGCCUUUAUGUUUCACAUAAUGUUUAAAUUUUUACUGAUUUUUGUGUUAAUAUCUGCAAGUUUUGCCAAUGUUUUGUUAAGAGAUGAUUAUAGCAAUUUUUGUUAUCAAGUUGUUUGUCCACCCGGAACCGUAUCCUGUAGAAAACAAGUGGAGACAUUAUCGGAUUUAAGACGUAUAAGGACUACGGUAACAUGUUUAAAUCGACUUGGUGGAGUUUUAGAAACGAAUGUAAGUGAUAAUGAGAAUUAUCAAGAUGGAUUUUCGAUCCAAUCUGCUUCAUAUUCUGGUACGAUUCCAAAAAAUUCAAGAUAUAUAAAUCAUAAUGGAUUAUUUUUUAAAUGAUUAAUGUGUUUUUAAAAACUUUUAACAUUUAAAACAAUAAAUUUGAUAUACAUGAUCUAAAAUUAUCAGUUAUCAAAUAAAGCGUCAAAAAAAUCUUUGAA